rnacentral:lncRNA from 1 species
UUUGCAACGUGUAAAGAUAUACAAUUUACAUCAAAAUAAAAAAGAGAAUAAUAAUAAUACAUAAAAAAGAGAAUAAUAAUAAUUGUAUCAAAUUAACUAUUGAUAAUUUUUCACUAUGACUUAACUCAGUUGGGGUUCAAACCCUGACCACCAUAAUAAAAAAAAUCUAUUAAAAGAUAAACACCGAAUAUAAACAUUGCAAUGAAGCAAUUUGGUUCAAGCUUUCUAAAUCUAAGGAGCGACAUCGCUAAAGAUGAGGAGUUAAAUUUCUCGACAUAAAUCACUCAAGAACUCCUAAAUCAAGUUAAUAGACUUGUGAUUUUCGUGGACCUAUUUGAAUGUGAACGUCCCUAAAAUAUAAUUAAAUUUAGUAUCAAUUUAUAAAAGAUUAAGAGUCCUUUUCUUUAUGACAAAAAACUAAAAGUGAAAACUCAAAAGUGACAUUCCUCCUUAUUCCUUUAUUCUUUCCUUUUUAUUCUUUU